UUAAACUGAAGAGUUUGAUCCUGGCUCAGAUUGAACGCUGGUGGCAUGCUUAACACAUGCAAGUCGAACGGUAACAGGUCUUAGGAUGCUGACGAGUGGCGGACGGGUGAGUAACGCGUAGGAAUCUGCCCAUUUGAGGGGGAUACCAGUUGGAAACGACUGUUAAUACCGCAUAAUAUCUGUGGAUUAAAGGUGGCUUUCGGGCUGUCGCAGAUGGAUGAGCCUGCGUUGGAUUAGCUAGUUGGUGGGGUAAGGGCCCACCAAGGCUACGAUCCAUAGCUGAUUUGAGAGGAUGAUCAGCCACAUUGGGACUGAGACACGGCCCAAACUCCUACGGGAGGCAGCAGUGGGGAAUAUUGGACAAUGGGGGCAACCCUGAUCCAGCAAUGCCAUGUGUGUGAAGAAGGCCCUAGGGUUGUAAAGCACUUUAGUUGGGGAGGAAAGCCUCAAGGUUAAUAGCCUUGGGGGAGGACGUUACCCAAAGAAUAAGCACCGGCUAACUCCGUGCCAGCAGCCGCGGUAAUACGGGGGGUGCAAGCGUUAAUCGGAAUUACUGGGCGUAAAGGGUCUGUAGGUGGUUUGUUAAGUCAGAUGUGAAAGCCCAGGGCUCAACCUUGGAACUGCAUUUGAUACUGGCAAACUAGAGUACGGUAGAGGAAUGGGGAAUUUCUGGUGUAGCGGUGAAAUGCGUAGAGAUCAGAAGGAACACCAAUGGCGAAGGCAACAUUCUGGACCGAUACUGACACUGAGGGACGAAAGCGUGGGGAUCAAACAGGAUUAGAUACCCUGGUAGUCCACGCUGUAAACGAUGAGUACUAGCUGUUGGAGUCGGUGUAAAGGCUCUAGUGGCGCAGCUAACGCGAUAAGUACUCCGCCUGGGGACUACGGCCGCAAGGCUAAAACUCAAAGGAAUUGACGGGGACCCGCACAAGCGGUGGAGCAUGUGGUUUAAUUCGAUGCAACGCGAAGAACCUUACCUGGUCUUGACAUCCUGCGAACUUUCUAGAGAUAGAUUGGUGCCUUCGGGAACGCAGUGACAGGUGCUGCACGGCUGUCGUCAGCUCGUGUUGUGAAAUGUUGGGUUAAGUCCCGCAACGAGCGCAACCCCUAUUGAUAGUUACCAUCAUUAAGUUGGGUACUCUAUUAAGACUGCCGCUGACAAGGCGGAGGAAGGUGGGGACGACGUCAAGUCAUCAUGGCCCUUAC
rnacentral:rRNA from 1 species